GUGCUUGUUUCGGUAGCACAUGUACUGGAAGGACAAGGAGAUUAGCCAGGCUGCUGAACAAGGAUGACACCCAAAUUUGUGAAGGGUUUCAAAAAUAC
rnacentral:snRNA from 1 species